ANNNNNNNNNNGGGUGCUUACACAUGCAGUCGAACGAUGAAGCCCAGCUUGCUGGGUGGAUUAGUGGCGAACGGGUGAGUAACACGUGAGCAACCUGCCCCUGACUCUGGGAUAAGCGCUGGAAACGGCGUCUAAUACUGGAUACGAGUAGCGAUCGCAUGGUCAGUUACUGGAAAGAUUUUUUGGUUGGGGAUGGGCUCGCGGCCUAUCAGCUUGUUGGUGAGGUAAUGGCUCACCAAGGCGUCGACGGGUAGCCGGCCUGAGAGGGUGACCGGCCACACUGGGACUGAGACACGGCCCAGACUCCUACGGGAGGCAGCAGUGGGGAAUAUUGCACAAUGGGCGGAAGCCUGAUGCAGCAACGCCGCGUGAGGGAUGACGGCCUUCGGGUUGUAAACCUCUUUUAGCAGGGAAGAAGCGAAAGUGACGGUACCUGCAGAAAAAGCGCCGGCUAACUACGUGCCAGCAGCCGCGGUAAUACGUAGGGCGCAAGCGUUAUCCGGAAUUAUUGGGCGUAAAGAGCUCGUAGGCGGUUUGUCGCGUCUGCUGUGAAAUCCCGAGGCUCAACCUCGGGCCUGCAGUGGGUACGGGCAGACUAGAGUGCGGUAGGGGAGAUUGGAAUUCCUGGUGUAGCGGUGGAAUGCGCAGAUAUCANGAGGAACACCGAUGGCGAANGCAGAUCUCUGGGCCGUAACUGACGCUGAGGAGCGAAAGGGUGGGGAGCAAACACGCUUAUAUACCCUGGUAGUCCACCCCGUACACGUUGGGAACUACUUGUGGGGUCCAUUCCACGGAUUCCGUGACGCAGCUAACGCAUUAAUGUUCCCCGCCUGGGGAGUACGGCCGCANGCUAAACUCAGAGAAAUUGACNAGA
rnacentral:rRNA from 1 species